UACGUAGGGUGCAAGCGUUGUCCGGAAUUAUUGGGCGUAAAGAGCUCGUAGGCGGUCUGUUACGUCUGCUGUGAAAACCCGGGGCUUAACCCUGGGCUUGCAGUGGAUACGGGCAGACUAGAGGCAGGUAGGGGGAGAAUGGAAUUCCCGGUGUAGCGGUGAAAUGCGCAGAUAUCAGGAGGAACACCGGUGGCGAAGGCGGUUCUCUGGGCAUGUCCUGACGCUGAGGAGCGAAAGUGUGGGGAGCGAACAGG
rnacentral:rRNA from 1 species